GAUGAACGCUGGCGGCGUGUCUAAUACAUGCAAGUCGAACGCACAGCGAAAGGUGCUUGCACCUUUCAAGUGAGUGGCGAACGGGUGAGUAACACGUGGACAACCUGCCUCAAGGCUGGGGAUAACAUUUGGAAACAGAUGCUAAUACCGAAUAAAACUUAGUGUCGCAUGACACAAAGUUAAAAGGCGCUUCGGCGUCACCUAGAGAUGGAUCCGCGGUGCAUUAGUUAGUUGGUGGGGUAAAGGCCUACCAAGACAAUGAUGCAUAGCCGAGUUGAGAGACUGAUCGGCCACAUUGGGACUGAGACACGGCCCAAACUCCUACGGGAGGCUGCAGUAGGGAAUCUUCCACAAUGGGCGAAAGCCUGAUGGAGCAACGCCGCGUGUGUGAUGAAGGCUUUCGGGUCGUAAAGCACUGUUGUAUGGGAAGAACAGCUAGAAUAGGAAAUGAUUUUAGUUUGACGGUACCAUACCAGAAAGGGACGGCUAAAUACGUGCCAGCAGCCGCGGUAAUACGUAUGUCCCGAGCGUUAUCCGGAUUUAUUGGGCGUAAAGCGAGCGCAGACGGUUUAUUAAGUCUGAUGUGAAAGCCCGGAGCUCAACUCCGGAAUGGCAUUGGAAACUGGUUAACUUGAGUGCAGUAGAGGUAAGUGGAACUCCAUGUGUAGCGGUGGAAUGCGUAGAUAUAUGGAAGAACACCAGUGGCGAAGGCGGCUUACUGGACUGCAACUGACGUUGAGGCUCGAAAGUGUGGGUAGCAAACAGGAU
rnacentral:rRNA from 1 species